rnacentral:rRNA from 1 species
GUGGGGAAUAUUGGACAAUGGGCGCAAGCCUGAUCCAGCCAUGCCGCGUGAGUGAUGAAGGCCCUAGGGUUGUAAAGCUCUUUCGCCGAUGAAGAUAAUGACGGUAGUCGGAGAAGAAGCCCCGGCUAACUUCGUGCCAGCAGCCGCGGUAAUACGAAGGGGGCUAGCGUUGUUCGGAAUUACUGGGCGUAAAGCGCACGUAGGCGGAUAUUUAAGUCAGGGGUGAAAUCCCGGGGCUCAACCCCGGAACUGCCUUUGAUACUGGGUAUCUCGAGUAUGGAAGAGGUGAGUGGAAUUCCGAGUGUAGAGGUGAAAUUCGUAGAUAUUCGGAGGAACACCAGUGGCGAAGGCGGCUCACUGGUCCAUUACUGACGCUGAGGUGCGAAAGCGUGGGGAGCAAACAGGAUUAGAAACCCUUGUAGUCC